rnacentral:lncRNA from 1 species
CGAAACUAUAGGAGAGAUAUGUCUUGUAUAUAUGUUACAUUUCAAAUUCAUCGAUAAUUCCUCGAGAACAUGAAAAGUUCAUUAUUGGCAAUGUAGUUUUCAUGUUUCGUUGAGAAUGAAAAAAGUAUGUUAAUAUGUUUUUAUGGCCUGUGCUUUGUGAAUUAAAUUUAUUUUAUGAGAAAAUAACUCCAAUUGAUUUUUGGUGAAGGUGGACUAAAAUUCAUCUAGUGCUUAUAUUCUAAGAACCUUUGUUGGUCACUAAUAUUUAAGAGACUUUAUAUGUCAUCUUUAGCAAGAUUUUGUGAAUCUCUACAUUUUUAAGUUCUAGAUUGAGAACUCCGACGGAAAAUAAAUUGUCAUGCGUCAGUAAAUUUUAU